AUACGGAGGGUGCAAGCGUUAAUCGGAAUUACUGGGCGUAAAGCGCGCGUAGGCGGCUUGGUCAGUCGGAUGUGAAAGCCCCGGGCUCAACCUGGGAAUGGCAUUCGAUACUGCCAGGCUAGAGUAUGAGAGAGGGAAGUGGAAUUUCCGGUGUAGCGGUGAAAUGCGUAGAUAUCGGAAGGAACACCAGUGGCGAAGGCGACUUCCUGGCCCAAUACUGACGCUGAGGUGCGAAAGCGUGGGGAGCGAACAGAAUUAGAAACCCCAGUAGUCC
rnacentral:rRNA from 1 species